CAAGGCAAAAGGCUUUUCCCCACUUGUUCCCAUUUUAUCUUUGAAGUUGUCAACAUACAGUUUGAGAGCUUCAAAUUCCAAUCUUGAAAUCAGACCCCUAUUUCUUCUUCAAUUCUCCCAAGGGGGAAAAUCACCAAAGAGAAGAGAGAUACUACAUCUAACAGGAUUCAAGUUAUCAAAAUAUUGAUUCUUGGCCCAAUCAAAAUUGCAACAGCAUGGAGGCCAAGCAAGAUGGAGAUGGAAAUUCUCCCAUGGGAGCUUCACCAUCAUCAAGAACAAGAUCAAAUGGUUCUACUGCUUCAUGGGAGGAAGAAUCCAUGGUGGGAUUCCUAGAGGAGGCAUUGAUGAUCAAAGAACAACUCACUGGAGGACCAAAGCAACUAGAGGUCAUUUCAAUUGUUGGCAUGGCUGGGCUAGGUAAGACCACUUUAGCCACUAAUUUGUACUAUGAUCCUUUGAUUGAAUAUCACUUCCACAUUCGCGCGUGGAUUUACGUAUCUCAAGAGUAUAGCAAGAGGGAUUUGUUAAUUGCCGAGCAAGAAAAAAAAAAGAGGGAUUUGUUAAUUAGCUUGGUGAGUUCUGUUGUCCCUCAAAUAAGUGGAAUUGAUCAAAUGAGCAAUGAGAAAUUAAGUGAGAAGCUGUACAAAGGCUUAAAGGGAAGGAGAUAUUUGAUUGUGGUUGAUGAUGUAUGGGAAAGUAGAGCUUGGGAUGAUUUGAACUCUCAUUUCCCUAAUGACAGCAAUGGAAGUAGGAUUAUGCUCACUAGUCGGCACGAGGAGGUGGCUUUGCACGCCAAGCGCAGUUACCCUUAUCUUUCUCUGCGCUUUUUAGCCGAGGAUGAAAGUUGGGAUCUGUUCACGAAGAAGGUAUUUCGGAGAGAAACUUUCCCUCUGGAGCUUAUGGAGAUAGGAAAGCACAUAGUUACAAGGUGUCAAGGACUUCCACUGGCAAUAGUUGUGGUAGCUGGAGUUCUUGCAAAUGAAGAGAAGAGUCAAGAAAGGUGGAGGCAAGUAGGGGAAGCCAUGAAUUCACCGAUGGUUGCUGACCAACAACGAUGGAUGAACACACUAGCCUUGAGUUACAGCCACUUGCCUAAACACUUGAAACUGUGCUUUCUCUAUUUUGGAGCAUUUCCGGAGGAUUUCCAAGUUCCCGUGUGGAAGUUGAUUUGGUUGUGGAUUGCUGAGGGAUUUGUGCAGAAAACCGAGGGAAAAAGCUUGGAGGAUAUAGCAGAGGGUUACUUGAUGGAUUUAAUUGGUAGAAGUCUCGUAUUAGUUUCCACCAGAAGGUAUGAUGGUGAAAUCAAAGCAUGUGGUAUUCAUGACUUGUUACGGGAAUAUUGUCUUAAAAAAGCUGAGGAAGAUUAUUUUCUCCUUCGAAUUUCAUGUAAUCAGCAUCUUUCCUCUCCUUUAUCAAAGCAAUUUUCGCACAUGCGUCUUCUGUCCAUUUAUGGUUCGGUAAAUCUUUGGGACAUUACCUCUAAAAUCCGUUCUGCGGCCAAUACCAGGUCUGUCUUGUGCUUUGGAUCUAGAAAUACUCCAUGGAAUUCUGAGAUGUUUCCUCCUACUUUCUCUCCUGAAUGGUUCAAUCUUCUUAGUGUGUUGGAUAUGAGUUCUGUAGGCUUUACCAGGUAUCCCACAGAGAUCGAACGAUUUGUCCUUUUGAGGUACUUGUCACUUCGCAUAUACUCCUUGAACUCCGAAACUUAUCUUCCAAAUUCAAUAUCCAACCUCUUGAAUUUGGAAACCCUUAUUGUUUGUACGCAUACUUUACUCCCGUGUGCUGUACAGUUGAUGAAUCUCUCUUUAACUAGACAGGAGUUGGAUAAGUUUCUUGGCAAAACUUCAUCUGUUACUCUACCGCACUGUGUGAGAAAUAUGGUCAAGUUGAGGCAUAUCCGUCUAACUGGUCAUGGGACUCACAGAAUUGAAAGGCAAAAAAACAGUCCGGCCUUCUUGUUGGAAAACCUACAAACUCUUUCGUGGGUAAAUCCAACGUCUUGCCAGGAUUUCCUGGCAGGGACUCCAAAUAUAAGAAAACUGGGAUUUUGGGGACAACUGAUAUUUGGGGGAUGCUUGUCUUUUCCUCAUUUAGAUGUUCUAAACAACCUCCAAGAGUUGAAGCUGUUUAACAGAGGCUCGAAAGAAUUGUGCUGGUUAUCAAAUAACCUUGGGACAGUUAAGUUCCCAACCAAUCUUAAGAAGCUAACUCUGAAGGAAACGUAUCUGAAGUGGGAGGAAAUGUCAACCCUUGGCAAUUUACUACCCAACCUUGAGAGUCUCAAACUAUUAUCUCAUGCCUGCACAGGAGAACAUUGGGAAACAAGCGAUGGGGAUUUCCCGCAACUCAAGUUCUUGAAAUUGGAGUCCUUGGGUAUUGUGCAGUGGGAAUUUUCCAGUAGUCACUUUCCCAGGCUUCAACGAUUAGAGGUCAGUCACUGCUAUUGGCUCGAGAAAAUCCAAUCUGAAAUUGGGGAUAUACCCACACUACAGAUGAUGACGGUGCGUUGGUGCAGCCUUUCUCUUGCUGAUUCUGCCAGGGAAAUUAAGGAAGAACAAGAAAGCAUCGGAAACAGUUGGUUGCAGUUUACUGAAUCCAACAACAUUGCUACACUGGAAAUGUUAGAAGUAAGUGCAUAAGGCAAUCAGAUCAUGCUUUCUUGUUUACAUCCUUCAUUUUGUGUUCUAAUUUUUAAUUGCUUUUGUCCUCGUACCUUUUUAUCCUUUCUUAUAGCUGGCUUGAUCUAGCAGAAAGAUCGUAAAUAGAUACAGGUAUGAAAGUUAAAUUGAGAUUCAUAGUUUUGGAUACUCACACCAAUGGAUCUUUUCGAUUGUGCUUUCCUCCACCUGCAAAUGAGGACCAAUAUAUGAUGACUAUUUGGAUCUUCUUGUCCUUUCAUGUCGUUCUUUUUCAGAAUAUGUGGUGAAAUAUCAUUUGAAAGGUUGAGGACAUGAUAAGUCUGUGGAUAAGCCAAAUUAGGGUGUCUUCAAAGUCAAGAUAAAAUGUCUUUAACUAUUGAACUGAUGGCGCAAACCCAAAUGUGAUACCCAUAACAGGAAAGAUCUGAUAAUUGUCAGACAGAAAGAUUCAAACAAAAAAAGUGAGCCAUGUUGAUGCUUCCCAUAGGACUGAAAUACCCAAUUUUGUCCUCUUCAAUGUUAAUUUUUCCAAGCCAUGCUUCUCUGCUCCUUAAUAAUUUUCUCGAAAUUGGUUUCUAACCAUGAUAUCCCAUAUCCUUAAAGGACUACUAGACCAAAGGGUGAACUGGUCCACCCCAAAGAAAAUGUCUAGGGAGAAACCAAUUACUUUGGCUAGGUUUGGAUCAUGGAUUUGUCAAGCAUGGAAGAUCUAUAUAUAGUUGUGUGACUGUGUCCCAUUUCUAAAGCUAUGUCACACUUUUUUCGGUGUCCGAAAUGCCUCAACAUGCCACAGCUUUGUAUUUCUAUUUUAUAGAUGCUUCAGCUUUUUUCCUUUUUUUCCUAUUCCAUCUCCAUUUUACGGCCAAUUUAAUUGAUAAACGUUUUAAACUCCUAUUUAUGUAUGAGUUUUGUUCGCAGCACAUCCCUUGGGUGUGGACACCUUCUUGUGAAAGGGACGUGUAGAAAAUAACGGUGGGCGGAAAAGUACUUUUAGCACCUUGUCUUCAUUACAGCAAUGGAAACACUAUAUGGACUAUGGGGGGCCAAAUCUGAACUGAGCAGACACUUCAAAUAUUUUAUCGGGUACUUUGAUUAUGUGAAGCAACGUAAUUUGGAAUGUAUCUGAUAAGAAACUCCCUUGUCUCAUGUUUAUUUCUUCAAGAAAACUUCAUUUAUUUCUCCUAUAUGUCUUGCACAAGGAUGCCUAUGCUUUUGUUUGACUAAGAUAUGAAUCUAAUCUUUACGAUGUUCCAUUGGAA